AUGGGCGUAGCAGAUGCUGAUUUGGAAGCAAUGAUGGCAGAGCUCGGAUUGAAGGAAGGAGACCUGCAAGAUGUUGUGGUUGAGGAGGAGCAACUCCCUGAAGAAUCAACCAGAUGGAUGGCCCUAGCUAGGGUUCAUACUAAGAAAACGUACAACCAAUAUUGGUUUUUCAAGAACAUGAGGGUUGCUUGGGAUCUGGCCAAGGAGGUGAAAAUCAGACCGCUGGAGGACAAAUUGUAUACGCUGCAAUUCUCGUGCCUAGGCGACUGGGAA
rnacentral:rRNA from 1 species